rnacentral:rRNA from 1 species
UACGUAGGGUGCAAGCGUUGUCCGGAAUUAUUGGGCGUAAAGAGCUCGUAGGCGGUCUGUCGCGUCGGCUGUGAAAACUCGGGGCUCAACCCCGAGCCUGCAGUCGAUACGGGCAGACUAGAGUGCGGUAGGGGAGACUGGAAUUCCUGGUGUAGCGGUGAAAUGCGCAGAUAUCAGGAGGAACACCGGUGGCGAAGGCGGCUCUCUGGACGGUGACUGACGCUGAGACGCGAAAGCGUGGGGAGCAAACAGG